rnacentral:lncRNA from 1 species
CAGGCAGAUUUUCUUCCUUUGGCCACUGUUACUAAGGAAACCACCUCUUGUGCAUGAAUGCAUUGCAGGUGCCUCUUUUUGGGACUGAAUCUGAGAUUACAUCCAGAUAUAAUUUACAAAUUCAAAACUGCAUUGCAGUUUAUUUAACUACUGACAUGACCAGAGAGAUAUUACACAGUGUAAUUAGUUUCCUUUCCCUCUACACCAGAGAAGCUGCUGAAGGAUGAGAUCUUCAGCAAGGAAGUGCCAAGAAAAAUUCCCUUCUUCCCAGCUCUGAAAGAGUGGCUAGUGAUGCAAGUCACACCUGCGGCACACUGGGAAGAGACUGAUUUAAGCACACUUGGAAAAUCACUGAUACUACAGCUACAAAGAAGUGCAUAAAAGCAUCAUGCAUUAAUCACCUAAGUUUACACCUUGUGAUUAUAUACGCCAGAGAAAUACAACAUGUAAUGCUUCAUGAAAAAGAAGACAAGGUUAACUGUGAUGCAAUUGAAGAUGCUGAUAUGCAACACAUCAAGCCUGGUUGCUGGCACGCCUAUCAUCUUCAGGGAACGAGAUCCAGCAACAGAAUUCCAAGCACUGGAAGGGGUUGCUACAGAGCUGGGGCUGGGGAGAGGAAACUGCCUGCUGGAGUGCUUUGUGUCCCUGUGAAGGUACAUUACACAGCAAAUAAUAAAGAACAUUUUAAUAUCAGCUGGCUCAUACUUAGCUUCAUGGGGCAGCCAUCUCAAAGGUAGUUUGUAGUUAUUAUUUUAUGGAAUAAAUUUAGCAUCUUUGUGAGAAAUCUAGGGGUG